rnacentral:rRNA from 1 species
GUCCUUUUGAUUAUAAUUUAAGGUCUGACCUGCCCACUGAAAUUAUUUUAAAUGGCCGCAGUAAUUUGACUGUGCAAAGGUAGCAUAAUCAUUAGUUUUUUAAUUAAAAGCUUGUAUGAAGGGUUGGACGAGAUAAAAUCUGUCUCUAUUUAAUUUAUUAUAAAAUUUAAUUUUUAAGUUAAAAAGCUUAAAUUUUUUUAAAAGACGAGAAGACCCUAUAGAUCUUUAUAGUUUUGAUUUUGAGUUUAAUUAAUAAAUUUUUAUGAUUUAUAAUUUAAACUAUUUUAUUGGGGUAAUAGAAAGAUUAAAAUAAUUCUUUUUUUCUUUAAACAUUUAUUUAUGUUUUUAAUGAUCCAAUUUUAUUGAUUAUAAGAUUAAGUUACCUUAGGGAUAACAGCGUAAUUUUUUUAGAGAGUUCUUAUCGAUAAAAAAGUUUGCGACCUCGAUGUUGGAUUAAAGAUUAAUUUAGGUGUAGAAGUUUAAAUUUUUGGUCUGUUCGACCAUUAAAUCUUUACAUGAUCUGAGUUCAGACCGGCGUAAGCCAGGUCGGUUUCUAUCUUUAAUAAUUUUAAAAUAUUUUAGUACGAAAGGACCAAAUAUUUAAUAUAUUUAUAUUUAAUUUUUUGAAUAUUAUU